GGGGUCGACUGGUUUUGACAGCGAGUUGAAUUAAACGGUAAGCACGUCGAGCAAUGAAAUUGAUGCUCGUAAAACGCUAUUUCACAAUUUAAACGGCGAUAAUAACUACGCUUUAGCUGCAUAAUCUGAAUUAUAGUAGGAUUGGCCUAGUCCCGCAAGGCGGGAAAGCUAAAUGUCUCUUGAAAGCCUUGGUUAACGGCGUUCUGUUAGAGGCAUCGUAAAAGUUAACAUAGAAUUGGUAGAACUUCGAUACUAAUUUGAAACUUAAGAAGAUAAGUAAUGAGUAGGCGGUCUUUGGUCAGCUUAUUAUCGAAAACCAAUUAAAGACUAAACGUGUAGAAAGCUCUUUGAUGGCUUGUUUGGACGAGAGUUCGAUUCUCUCCGGCUCCACCU
rnacentral:tmRNA from 1 species